AUUGAACGCUGGCGGCAUGCCUAACACAUGCAAGUCGAACGGCAGCAUAGUAUGUACUUGUACAUAUGGGUGGCGAGUGGCGAACGGGUGAGUAAUGCGCAGGAAUAUACCUUAAAGAGGGGGAUAACUUGGGGAAACACAAGCUAAUACCGCAUGUACUCUAACGAGUGAAGCUGGGGACCUUCGGGCCUGGCGCUUUAAGAAUAGCCUGCGUCCGAUUAACUAGUUGGUGGGGUAAAGGCCUACCAAGGCGACGAUCGGUAGCUGGUCUGAGAGGAUGGACAGCCACACUGGGACUGAGACACGGCCCAGACUCCUACGGGAGGCAGCAGUGGGGAAUAUUGGACAAUGGGGGCAACCCUGAUCCAGCAAUGCCGCGUGUGUGAAGAAGGCCUGAGGGUUGUAAAGCACUUUUAGUGGGGAGGAGGGUAUCUAGGUUAAGAGCUAAGAUAUUGGACGUUACUCACAGAAAAAGCACCGGCUAACUCCGUGCCAGCCGCCGCCGUAA
rnacentral:rRNA from 1 species